AUACGUAGGGUGCAAGCGUUAAUCGGAAUUACUGGGCGUAAAGCGUGCGCAGGCGGUUUUGUAAGACAGUGGUGAAAUCCCCGGGCUCAACCUGGGAACUGCCAUUGUGACUGCAAGGCUGGAGUGCGGCAGAGGGGGAUGGAAUUCCGCGUGUAGCAGUGAAAUGCGUAGAUAUGCGGAGGAACACCGAUGGCGAAGGCAAACCCCUGGUCCUGCACUGACGCUCAUGCACGAAAGCGUGGGGAGCAAACAGGAGUAGAUACCCUGGUAGUCCACGCCCUAAACGAUGUCAACUGGUUGUUGGGGAUUUAUUUUCUCAGUAACGAAGCUAACGCGUGAAGUUGACCGCCUGGGGAGUACGGCCGCAAGGUUAAAACUCAAAUGAAUUGACGGGG
rnacentral:rRNA from 1 species